GCCAUACCUCAGUAGUAGAGCAUCUGCUUUACAUGCAGAAGAUCCUGGGUUAAUUCCCCAGCAUCUACA